CCCGGAGGCAGGCCUGCUGGAGAUGUUGGUGUUGAACUUGGUCCCUGCCCACCAGAAAGGCGAUCUCUUCUUUAUUAAGAACUUUCUGCACAACUAUAGACUGUGUGGGACAAUGCAGCAAGUGCUGGAUAUUCUAUUUAAAAAGUACAGAUCCCUCCGCCCCAACUGCGGGGAAGAUGAGCCAGUGAAGAACACCCUGUGUUCCAUCUUCACCCUGUGGAUGGACUUUUCCCCUGA